rnacentral:rRNA from 1 species
UACAGAGGGUGCAAGCGUUGUUCGGAAUUACUGGGCGUAAAGCGCGUGUAGGCGGGUCUUUAAGUCAGGGGUGAAAUGCCAAGGCUCAACCUUGGAACUGCCUUUGAUACUGGAGACCUUGAGUCCGGGAGAGGUGAGUGGAAUUGCGAGUGUAGAGGUGAAAUUCGUAGAUAUUCGCAAGAACACCAGUGGCGAAGGCGGCUCACUGGCCCGGAACUGACGCUGAGACGCGAAAGCGUGGGGAGCGAACAGG